UACGGGUGGGGCAAGCGUUGUUCGGAAUUACUGGGCGUAAAGGGCGCGUAGGCGGCCUGCUAAGUCGGAUGUGAAAUCCCUCGGCUCAACCGAGGAACUGCAUCCGAUACUGGCCGGGCUUGAUUCCGGGAGAGGGAUGUGGAAUUCCAGGUGUAGCGGUGAAAUGCGUAGAUAUCUGGAGGAACACCGGUGGCGAAGGCGGCAUCCUGGACCGGUAUUGACGCUGAGGCGCGAAAGCUAGGGGAGCAAACGGG
rnacentral:rRNA from 1 species